rnacentral:ncRNA from 6 species
UGCCUGGCUCCCUGUAUGCC